rnacentral:rRNA from 1 species
AUUAAACGCUGGCGGCAUGCCUUACACAUGCAAGUCGAACGGCAGCACGGGGCAACCUGGUGGCGAGUGGCGAACGGGUGAGUAAAGCAUCGGAACGUGCCCUGGAGUGGGGGAUAACGUAGCGAAAGUUACGCUAAUACCGCAUAUUCUGUGAGCAGGAAAGCAGGGGAUCGCAAGACCUUGCGCUCUGGGAGCGGCCGAUGUCGGAUUAGCUAGUUGGUGGGGUAAAGGCCUACCAAGGCGACGAUCCGUAGCGGGUCUGAGAGGAUGAUCCGCCACACUGGGACUGAGACACGGCCCAGACUCCUACGGGAGGCAGCAGUGGGGAAUUUUGGACAAUGGGCGGAAGCCUGAUCCAGCCAUGCCGCGUGAGUGAAGAAGGCCU